AGCAUUUGCCAGCUGGAAAAUGUGAAGACAUUCUAGGCAGAGGGAACCGCUGGGGCCAGGUCAGACAGCUGUGAAAGGCUGCAUUUUCUGGGAACCCUACAGCUGUCCCGAAGGCUAACAAGGUGUUUUGAGGCAGGUGGAUGAAAUAAGACAAACUGCAGGGGAAUUCCCCACUUUGUGGGGAGGGAAGAGAGAUUUCCCUGAUGAGGUCAGGCUAGGACAUGAGUCGCAUGGGGCAGCCAUUUUGGAAGGAAGACAUUUGUCCACGUGGAAGCUGUAAUUCAAAAUGUGGACUUCAGCAAGAGGAAACACCUAGCUCUCUCUUGAAUCCGGGUUUCAAGAAGCACUCACCAGAUAGCUGCACAUCAGACUGCAGGUGUAUCCUCAAAACUCAGAGCAGAGUCUGGCAUAUGUUGAAUCUGAAGAUGAGGACCUCAAGAAUACAGAGGGCUGACUGCACUGACAAAACUCAGUGGAAACCUCUGGAAGAUUUGAUGGUAGAUGGUUUUAUCAUCUGCAGCUGUUCACUCCUCCACUGUGUCAGAGAGGAUUAGACAUCCCUGUUCAUUGCAGGUGACCUCACAUCACCCCCAUAAACGGGGGCAGGUUGUGCUUCCACACCUUGUUGUCAGCCCGGGCCAAUGGAAUCUGAGCAGAUGUGACUUACACCAGGAUGAGCAGAAGCUUCAAUGUGAUUGCCUGCUGUGAUGGCCAAUUUUAGGUGUCAACUUGACUGGGCUAAGGGAUGCCCAGAUAGCUGGUAAAACAUGCUUGCAGGGU
rnacentral:lncRNA from 1 species